AACGCACAUUGCGCCCUCUGGUAUUCCAGAGGGCAUGCCUGUUCGAGCGUCAUUUCAACCCUCAAGCCCAGCUUGGUGUUGGGGCAUUACCUUCCCUCGCGGGGGGUAAGCCCUGAAAUUUAGUGGCGAGCUCGCCAGGACUCCGAGCGCAGUAGUUAAACCCUCGCUCUGGACUGUACUGGCGCGGCCCUGCCGUAAAACCCCCAACUUCUGAAAAUUUGACCUCGGAUCAGGUAGGAGUACCCGCUGAACUUAA
rnacentral:misc_RNA from 1 species